rnacentral:rRNA from 1 species
UACGUAGGGUGCGAGCGUUAAUCGGAAUUACUGGGCGUAAAGCGUGCGCAGGUGGUUUCGCAAGUCAGGCGUGAAAGCCCCGGGCUUAACCUGGGAAUUGCGCUUGAAACUACGAGACUGGAGUACGGCAGAGGGAGGUGGAAUUCCACGUGUAGCGGUGAAAUGCGUAGAGAUGUGGAGGAACACCGAUGGCGAAGGCAGCCUCCUGGGCCGAUACUGACGCUCAUGCACGAAAGCGUGGGGAGCAAACAGGAUUAGAUACCCUGGUAGUCCACGCCCUAAACGAUGUCUACUAGUUGUUGGGAGAGUUAAAUCUCUUAGUAACGCAGCUAACGCGCGAAGUAGACCGCCUGGGGAGUACGGUCGCAAGAUUA